ensembl:lncRNA
UUCCCACUGGCUCAGUGAGCUGCUCAGUUCCUCUUAGCAAAAUCCUCGUGUACUUAACACAGAGAGAUUUCGUUCCUUGCAGCUAAGAACCCUGGUUAACACAGGAAGGAAAAUGAUGAAGACUCUGACCCCUGUCUCUCAGGAGCUUGGCACACAAAUGAUUUUAGUACAGUCCAUGUAAUGGAGGAAAGACAGGACAUUUUUGGAGCAUCUGCUGUGCUGGACAGGUUAGAUUCAGUGAUGAACACACAGGACUUCUCACUGCAAGGGACUCAAUCUGAUGGGAGGGAUGGAUACAGUGCCAGAAAUGUGUGCAGGGAGUGAAGGAAGCACCGAGGAGGAAGCCGACCCAGCCAGGAACUGCGUUGGGUGUGCCCUCCCAUGCCCAGCCUGCUCCCCUCAUUUGGUCUCAUCAUUGUUCCCUUUGUUGCGCUCCCUCAUUAUUCAGGAGGCAGGAGCUACCAGGCCUGAACAGAAUGGGGACAGUCCAGGAAGAGGAAACAUCCCACCAGGGAGGGGGAGCAUUUUCAAGUUUCUUGCCCUUCACUGGGUCUCCUCGAUGUGCCUCAGUGAUUUGAAUCAAUCCAGUUAUUCCCAUGCACCAAUAUUUUUCAUUCUCUACCAUUGGGAACCAGCUUUCUAUUCCUCUCAUAUUCUCUGGUCUUUUUGCCUCUCCAAAUGGCUUUUAACUAUACAAUUUUUGCCUACUCAACUCGGAUGACAGUUCAAACUAACAGUGAGCUGUUGAACCCUGAUGUAUUUCAGAGUGUGUUUAUCCUGGGCAUUAUCCUAAAGGCGGCGAUGCAUACAAAUUUUGCUGGGAAAAUGCAGCAGUACUGCCGACUGGUGGUGAGGGUAGCUUUGUAAGCGCACUUUUGUUUUCAGAUCUUCCAUGCCCCAAGGCAUUCCCAGGGCUGAGGAGUUUGGUAAAUUCUGGGGAAAGAGAGGAAUUUGAAAUGUAUGAGUUGGUAGCUCAUUUAGAGGAUGUUCGGCCACCUGCUCUCAGACCGCGGGGCCUUUCACAUCCAGUACAUGUACGGCGCAGGUGCCAGGAGAUUGAAAAUGAAAGUGAAUUGUCGAUUUUUCUAUCUUUUCAUUCAACUUCUUUUCAAAAGCUCUUCCUCUUUCAAAAAUCAUCCAAAUGCCUUUCCUUUAAAGUUAACACCACAAGGAAUUGAAGUCUCAUUUCCUGGAAAUCCAGGGCUGGACGGCAUCCAUCCUUCAAAUGAGCCCCUAGAGAGAAGACGUGGAGACGCGAACUCCCAACUCAGGUUUCCGGGGGAUGCGUAUUAGACCCCCGGCCUGGAAGCUGAGGUCACGGAUUACUUUCUCAUUGCCGUCAAGGUCUCAGACACAUACUCCAACUGACCCCUCUCCAAGCCCCGCAGCUUCUGAAAACACAUGGAUUUCAUGGUGAAGGAAAUAUCUCCACCUAAAGCCUUUCUAGGCACCCUUCCCCCCAAGGCGUUUUGCUAAUGUGUACCAGAAUGUUCUUGAAAGGAGAAAAAAGGAAAAAGAGAAAGAAAUGCUUUGUGAGGAGAAGGCUCUGCCUUCCAGCCCUUCUAACACAACUGCCUCCUAUUAAUCUGCGACCUAGUUAAGAGAACCGGAAAUAAUGUCUCGCAUGUGGAGCUUUCUGUGACCACAGCUGUCGUCCAUGUGAACACUCACUGUGUGCCGGGAUCUGUGCUACAUCCUUUUUAGGGAGACGCUCAUUUGCUCGGCACUACAACCCGACUGGGCGGGGAUCAUUUUUAUGAAUGUUACAGAGAUUGCAAAAGCUGAGGCUUAAAGACUUGAAGUCACUGGCCCAGAAUCACCAGCCAAUAAGUGGUGGAGCCAGAAUUUGAUCCUAAGUAGUCCGACUCCAGAGACCUCACUGAAUUAAAUUACACUGAUUUAAUUCAUGUGAAGUAUCUAGAAGACACGAAUUUUUACUUGUAUUUUACAGAUGAGAAAACUGGAGUUUAGAGUGGUUAAUUGAUUGGCCCAAGCUUGUAGCUGUUAAGUGAUUGAGUCGAGAACCAGACCUGGUGUACUGGACCCUCAGGCCAUUGUUCUUUCCACUAAACACACGUUUGUGAGCCUCUCCGUUCCCCGAGGCCACUUUGCAAACCAAGGGAAAGUGAAUUGACACAGCAAGAGCAGUUUAGCGGCAGUUGGUCAUCCUAACCAACCUUUUACUUUUAGGAAGCCUCCAGGGUCUGAUAGAUCUUUGCUCACAUUCUCUGCCUCUCCCUGCAGACUCUCAAAUGGCACUUGACACGAAUUAGAUAAGUUCAGUUACUGAAGGGGAGGAAAAUACUAUAAAACCUAAGGUUUGCUUACAUGCUCUCUGGUACCCAUAGGAACCGCCAACCAACAGAUGUUGUGGGUCCAGAUGAAAGAAUGGAGAACAUGUGAUGAUGAAUUUACGAGCGUUUUCUGGAAUGCUCCCAGGCUCUUCCCCUCAAGCAUUUGUUUUUUCUCUCACGAAGAAGCAACUCCAAUGAUCUAAACUCUGUAAUUUAGGACAGGAGCUUCUCUUCACACUCCAUGAAGUUCUUGCAAAUUUAAAGUUAUGACUCAAUCUUCUCUCCAAACCAAAAUGUGAUGCCAAAUUUGGACUGAGAAAAAAACCUAUAAAUAUACAUAAAUUUAAUUUUUAUCCUAGAAUGUUAACUUUUAUCCGUGUGACUGUUAGAAGAAAAGAAUGGUUAUAAUCAUCUGACAAUGAACAUGACUCUCAGUCAGGGAGCUGGUCAACUGACAAUUAUGGAAAACGUGUUCAAUAAGUUUUAAAGAUACCCUAAGGUGAUAACAUUUGAAAUGAGCAAUUACUUUGGCAAAUGUGAAUAAUCCAUGCUUAUUUUUUUUAAUUAUUUUUCUUUUAUUUAUUUACUGAUUUUAAAAAUUGAGAUAUAAUCGACAUAUAGCAUAUAUUAGUUUCAGAUGUACAACAUAAUGAUUCUAUGUAUGUGUGUAUUGCAAAAUGCUCACCACACUAAGUCUAGCUAACAUCCAUCACCGCACAUAGUUACAAUUUUUUUCUCCUGAUGAGAACUUUUAAGAUUUACUCGUAGCAACUUUCAAAGAUACAAUAGAGUAGCAUUUGAUUCAGAUUGAGAUUGAAAGGCUGUGAAAUGUGAAACAAAACGGAGUCACUUAUGUUUAAGGGCUUUAAAAUGGAGCCAGGAAGAGAAUGUUGAGAAAGGAAGCCGACUGCCAAAACUAGAAUGGAAAAGAUGGUUCUAGAAGAGGGACCUACAGAGCUGGAAGCUCAGCUUCUUUUUCUUUCUUUCUCUGAUUACCAAGGGUAAAAAAAGACAGACAGGAGACAAAGUUUAGAACCCUGUAGGGCGCCUAGAGCUUUCCUUUGAAGGAGCAGUGAGCAGACAACAGCUGAAAGUGUGUCCUUAUCAGGAGCUGCUGUAAGGAAAUGCUUUCUUCUCAUCACACAUGUCACCUAAGCCAGCC